rnacentral:rRNA from 1 species
UGCCAGACUCCUACGGGAGGCAGCAGUGGGGAAUAUUGCACAAUGGGGGAAACCCUGAUGCAGCGACGCCGCGUGAGUGAAGAAGUAUCUCGGUAUGUAAAGCUCUGUCAGCAGGGAAGAAGAAUGACGGUACCUGACCAAGAAGCCCCGGCUAACUACGUGCCAGCAGCCGCGGUAAUACGUAGGGGGCAAGCGUUAUCCGGAUUUACUGGGUGUAAAGGGAGCGUAGACGGCAGGGCAAGUCUGGAGUGAAAGGCGGGGGCCCAACCCCCGGACUGCUCUGGAAACUGCCAGGCUGGAGUGCAGGAGAGGUAAGUGGAAUUCCUAGUGUAGCGGUGAAAUGCGUAGAUAUUAGGAGGAACACCAGUGGCGAAGGCGGCUUACUGGACUGUAACUGACGUUGAGGCUCGAAAGCGUGGGGAGCAAACAGGAUUAGAUACCCGAGUAA